rnacentral:rRNA from 1 species
AUGUUAGCGGCGGACGGGUGAGUAACACGUGGGUAACCUACCUAUAAGACUGGGAUAACUCCGGGAAACCGGGGCUAAUACCGGAUAAUAUUUUGAACCGCAUGGUUCAAUAGUGAAAGACGGUUUCGGCUGUCACUUAUAGAUGGACCCGCGCCGUAUUAGCUAGUUGGUAAGGUAACGGCUUACCAAGGCGACGAUACGUAGCCGACCUGAGAGGGUGAUCGGCCACACUGGAACUGAGACACGGUCCAGACUCCUACGGGAGGCAGCAGCC